GGCUCCGUAGCUCAUCUGACAGAGCGCAUGCCACGUUGAGGCAUGAUGUUUCUGUCGCUGGUUCGAAUCCGGCCGAAGCCU